rnacentral:rRNA from 1 species
AACGAACGCUGGCGGCAUGCCUAACACAUGCAAGUCGAACGAGACCUUCGGGUCUAGUGGCGCACGGGUGCGUAACGCGUGGGAAUCUGCCCUUGGGUUCGGAAUAACAGCUAGAAAUGGCUGCUAAUACCGAGUAAUGACGUAAGUCCAAAGAUUUAUCGCCCAAGGAUGAGCCCGCGUAGGAUUAGCUAGUUGGUGAGGUAAAAGCUCACCAAGGCGACGAUCCUUAGCUGGUCUGAGAGGAUGAUCAGCCACACUGGGACUGAGACACGGCCCAGACUCCUACGGGAGGCAGCAGUGGGGAAUAUUGGACAAUGGGCGAAAGCCUGAUCCAGCAAUGCCGCGUGAGUGAUGAAGGCCUUAGGGUUGUAAAGCUCUUUUACCCGGGAUGAUAAUGACAGUACCGGGAGAAUAAGCUCCGGCUAACUCCGUGCCAGCAGCCGCGGUAAUACGGAGGGAGCUAGCGUUGUUCGGAAUUACUGGGCGCAAAGCGCACGUAGGCGGCUUUGCAAGUUAGAGGUGAAAGCCUGGGGCUCAACCCCAGAAUUGCCUUUAAGACUGCAUCGCUAGAAUCCAGGAGAGGUGAGUGGAAUUCCGAGUGUAGAGGUGAAAUUCGUAGAUAUUCGGAAGAACACCAGUGGCGAAGGCGGCUCACUGGACUGGUAUUGACGCUGAGGUGCGAAAGCGUGGGGAGCAAACAGG